AGCCCAGUAAGAUUCCAAAAGAACCAUCGAUUUCGGCUCUUUCUACCGAAGACGAAUAUGUUUCCAUAAAAAUGAAAGAGUCAGCAAAACUUUUAAAAUCGCCAGAGGCAUACUCAAACUUGGUAAAAGAGUUUGUUGGGCCAGGUAUUUAUGAAGAAAUUUCUAUCAUUGAAAACAGUGGAGGGAAAGCUGACUUCGUAUUUCAGGAUACAUAUACAAAUACAUCUCUCGUUCGGCCAGUAUCCAAGAUGUCUUGAUCCAUUGCACAGAUCAACUGAAAAAAAUCAUUUUGUAUUUGAAUUCCAAAACAAAAAGUAUCGAAACAUGGUUUAACAACAUAAUUGCACUACCCUAAUUACACUUUCUUUUACUCUCAACUUUUUGGUUCAGAAUCCCAUGGAUUUGAAAAAAUUAAGAUCUUAUCAAUGCUUGAGUCAAAAUUACUCAUUUUCUUUUAUUUCAGCCAAAUUUCAUAUUAAUCCUUCACAGCAAAAAUACGCUC